UACGAAGGUGGCAAGCGUUGUUCGGAUUUACUGGGCGUACAGGGAGCGUAGGCGGUUGGAUAAGCCCUCCGUGAAAUCUCCCGGCUCAACCGGGAGGGUGCGCCGAAAACUGGGAGGCUAGAGUGCGGGAUGGGAGAGUGGAAUUCCUGGUGUAGCGGUGAAAUGCGUAGAUAUCAGGAGGAACACCGGUGGUGCAGACGGCUCUCUGGACCGUAACUGACGCUGAGACACGAAAGCGUGGGUAGCAAACAGG
rnacentral:rRNA from 1 species